ensembl:snRNA U6 U6 spliceosomal RNA
GUGUUUGCUUUGGCAGUGCAUAGGCUAAAACUGGAAUGAUACAGAGGUUAGCAUGGCCCCUGUGGAAGGAUGACAUGCAAAUUUGUGAAGUAUUCCACAUUUGU